rnacentral:rRNA from 1 species
UAAGUGAAGAGUUUGAUCCUGGCUCAGAGUGAACGCUGGCGGUAGGCCUAACACAUGCAAGUCGAACGGCAGCACAGGAGAGCUUGCUCUCUGGGUGGCGAGUGGCGGACGGGUGAGGAAUACAUCGGAAUCUACUUUUUCGUGGGGGAUAACGUAGGGAAACUUACGCUAAUACCGCAUACGACCUACGGGUGAAAGCAGGGGAUCUUCGGACCUUGCGCGAUUGAAUGAGCCGAUGUCGGAUUAGCUAGUUGGCGGGGUAAAGGCCCACCAAGGCGACGAUCCGUAGCUGGUCUGAGAGGAUGAUCAGCCACACUGGAACUGAGACACGGUCCAGACUCCUACGGGAGGCAGCAGUGGGGAAUAUUGGACAAUGGGCGCAAGCCUGAUCCAGCCAUACCGCGUGGGUGAAGAAGGCCUUCGGGUUGUAAAGCCCUUUUGUUGGGAAAGAAAUCCAGCUGGUUAAUACCCGGUUGGGAUGACGGUACCCAAAGAAUAAGCACCGGCUAACUUCGUGCCAGCAGCCGCGGUAAUACGAAG